rnacentral:rRNA from 1 species
GACGAACGCUGGCGGCGUGCCUAAUACAUGCAAGUCGAACGCUUCUUUCCUCCCGAGUGCUUGCACUCAAUUGGAAAGAGGAGUGGCGGACGGGUGAGUAACACGUGGGUAACCUACCCAUCAGAGGGGGAUAACACUUGGAAACAGGUGCUAAUACCGCAUAACAGUCUGUACCGCAUGGUACAGGAGUGAAAGACGCUUUCGGGUGUCACUGAUGGAUGGACCCGCGGUGCAUUAGCUAGUUGGUGAGGUAACGGCUCACCAAGGCCACGAUGCAUAGCCGACCUGAGAGGGUGAUCGGCCACACUGGGACUGAGACACGGCCCAGACUCCUACGGGAGGCAGCAGUAGGGAAUCUUCGGCAAUGGACGAAAGUCUGACCGAGCAACGCCGCGUGAGUGAAGAAGGUUUUCGGAUCGUAAAACUCUGUUGUUAGAGAAGAACAAGGAUGAGAGUAACUGUUCAUCCCUUGACGGUAUCUAACCAGAAAGCCACGGCUAACUACGUGCCAGCCGCCGCAGUAACAC